rnacentral:rRNA from 1 species
GAGCGGCGGACGGGUGAGUAACACGUGGGCAACCUGCCCUGUAGAUCGGGAUAACUUCGGGAAACCGGAGCUAAUACCGGGUAAUAAAUGGGAUCGCAUGAUUCUAUUUUGAAAGUUGGGUUUUACCUAACACUACAGGAUGGGCCCGCGGCGCAUUAGCUAGUUGGUGAGGUAACGGCUCACCAAGGCGACGAUGCGUAGCCGACCUGAGAGGGUGAUCGGCCACACUGGGACUGAGACACGGCCCAGACUCCUACGGGAGGCAGCAGUAGGGAAUCUUCCGCAAUGGACGAAAGUCUGACGGAGCAACGCCGCGUGAGUGAUGAAGGCCUUCGGGUCGUAAAGCUCUGUUGUUAGGGAAGAACAAGUACCGUUCAAAUAGGGCGGUACCUUGACGG